rnacentral:lncRNA from 1 species
CUUUUCAAAAACAAAACUCUAGAAAUCAAAAGCUCCUUCUCCAAGAAACCCAAAUUCCUCCAUUAAUUCUCCAAGAAAAUUCAAGACUAAGGAUUCCCAAUUCAAGAACUCUGAGAAUUCAUCUCCAAAGCAUCAAUAAGAAUCCAAGAUUCAAGUUUUUCAUCAAAGAUCAUCAAUUUAAGAUAUGUGAGGUUAUGAACAAGGAUACUCCUUUUAUCCUUGUGCCCAAAACUUACUUUUAAUUACAAAAGUUAUUUGAUUUUAUGUGAUUUUCCAUGAAAUUCAAGUUGGGUUUAUACCCAUUAUUGUUGUUUACAAACUUAUGAGAUUUCCAUUGAUUUAGGAGUUGAGAUUAUAUGAUUAUAUUCAUAUUUCUAUGCAUUGUGCAGAAAUUUUCAGAUUCUUAUGAUGAAUUAUAAGUGUUUACAUUAUCAAGUAUGAAUUUUUAGAUGUUUUAAUAUGAAAUUUAUGCAUGGGUCACUACGCCCUAAUUAAGAUUUGCUAUUUUGAGAUUAUUUGUGCCAUGAGUACCCUCAGAUAAGAUUAUUCUCAGAUUUUGAUAAAGAUUUGACCUUUUGGUCCUAAGCUAAGACAAAGAAUCCACUUUGUUCAUAUGACUUAAGAUUUAAAGAAAGAAAAGCAUAAUUGGUUUCCUUGUAAACCCUUGUGCUAUUUUUGAAGUGGAUUUCUUAAGAUUUUGAGCAUAAGAAUGAGAGUAGUAUUUAGCACUGAGAUGGGUAAGUUACUACGAUUUCAUACCUCAGAAUUAUGUGUCAACGUAGGAUUCAGAUUAUUCCCACUUCUACGUGGAUGACUCAGAUUGUGAUCACUUAAGAUAGAAGUUCUAUUCCGAUGGCAAGGGUAGAACAACCUACCUAACGGGGGCCAGACAUGGGACUCUAUGGAUGCUCACAUGGUGUAUGUCAAUUAGAAGAACCUCCUAAAAAGAUGUCCCCUACUCUUAAAACAGUUUAUUGGCGUAAAGCCUUAAGAUAAAAGAUAUAUUUUGAAAGCUAUGGUUUUAAGAUUUUUUAAGUCUUGAGAUGAAGUAUCCCCUUUACAAAUCGAUAAGAUGAUGUAGCAGCUUUCAAAAAGAACAGAUUUUAGAACUGAAUGUUAUGGCUCAUAAGAUUCAUACUGCAUGCUCUAUUAUUUAUGAUUUAUGAUCUUCAGAUUUCCGAUUACUCGAGCCUAUGUGAGUCAUUUACAUUUAGCAUGUAUGAUUUUUAUAAAUUGUGAUGAUAUUGUUUGCUUAUUGCAUGCACCCCCAUAUACUCAGUACAUCAUCAAAGUACUGAUCCACAAAUACGUUUAUGUGCUACAUUGUCUCGUAAUGUAGGUUCAGGUGCUCAGUCUCAGCAGCGUGAGUGAUUCUCGAGCAUCUCAUUGCAUCCCUACAGUUGGUGAGUCUUCAUAGUUCGGGAACUUAGUUAUUCAUACUUUCAGUUUAUUAGUAGAUGUUCCUUAUUCAUUUCAGACAGUUUGAGUCAGCUGGGGCUUGUCCCAGUGACUCUCUAGAUUCAGAUAGUAGAGGCUUGUCGGACUACUAGAUUCAGUUUUAGACAUUUGAUUCAGUAUUCAGUUUUUUUCAGUAUUGUUUUACCAAGACUUCUAGUAUGUUUCAGAUAAGAUUUUUCGCAUUAUUAUGAUUUCAUAUUCAUAUUUCUUCUAUGUUGAGAUUCAAACUUAGUAGAAAGCAGUCAGGGUUAGCUCAGGACUACUUGUAAUUCGGAGCACCGUGUGGCAUCCCUAAAACUAGAUAUCGGGGCGUUACAGUUAUUUAG